UUGAAACACCAGUUCCCAUAUGAUCACUAAAGUUAAGCAAUGUUAAACUUGGUUAGUACUUAGAUGGGUGAUCACUUGGGAGUACCAGC